GGGGCUGACUUGGAUUUCGACAGAUUUCUUGUCGCACAGAUAGCAUGCCAAGCGCUACUUGUAAAACAGCAACAAAAAUAACUGUAAACAACACAGAUUACGCUCCAGCUUACGCUAAAGCUGCGUGAGUUAAUCUCCUUUUGGAGCUGGACUGAUUAGAAUUUCUAGCGUUUUAAUCACUCCAUAACCUUAAGCUAGACGCUUUUAAAAGGUGGUUCGCCUUUUAAACUAAGAAACAAGAACUCUUGAAACUACCUCAAGGUUUUAGAAAGUUGGACCAGAGCUAGUUUUAAGGCUAAAAAACCAACCAAUUUUCUAAGCAUUGUAGAAGUUUGUGUUUAGGGCAAGAUUUUUGGACUGGGGUUCGAUUCCCCACAGCUCCACCA
rnacentral:tmRNA from 1 species